rnacentral:rRNA from 1 species
AUGCUAACAUGUAGAGGGUUUGGCAAUAAGUGGAUUAGGUGGGUAUUGUCCGUCAUCCAAAAUAGGUCAUUUAGUGUUCGUAUUAAUGACAUAAAUGGACCUUAUUGUGUUGGCAGGAAAGGCUUGAAACAAGGGGACCCAUUCUCCCCCAUGUUGUUCAACCUUGUGGCUGAUGUGUUCUCCAGGAUGUUAGCGAAAGCUGUCGGAACUAAUGUUAUUUCUGAGAUUAUUCCUUAUAUAGUACCUGAUAGCUUAGUCAGUCUUCAAUAUGCUCCUGAUACGACUCUUUUCCUUGAUCCUAAUCUUGAAUGCGCCAGAAACUUAAAGUGGUUGCUUUCUUGUUUUGACUAG